GGAAACCAUGUUAUGAUAGAUAUUUACCCGUUCUGAGAUCUCAAGAGGCAAAGCAUUUCAUUUCUUCCAAUUCGUCCCGCGCAUAGCUUUUCUUUCACCUUUAAUGGACAACCAGGACAACAUUUUUCUCACAAAAUACAAUCUCCAAGCCCUAAGCAUCUCCAAGCUCUAAACGUCUCCAAGCCUAGUCCGCGCACACUAGUCGGAGCAUCCACGCCGUCUCAUGGUAGCCGCCGAUGAUUGUGAGCUUCCGGUCUUUGAUCUCAGCCGAGGACAGUGGCGAGACUGUGAGGGAAGAGUACAAGUCGCACAUUGCUAGGGUUUCACAGGAAUGGGCGUUCUUCCAGGUCGUCUCUCUCAGGUACGCACAUUUUCUUUGCUGUCUAGCUCUUGAAUCCUUGGAAAACUGAUUUUUGGUGGUUUAUUGGUGUAUUUUGCUGCAUAAAAUGACUAUAGCAAGGGUGAUUUUCGAAUUUUGUUGUUUCUGUGCUUUUGGAAAGCUUGAGCAAAUGUUUGAAAGUUGCUAGCACUAUUCAUUUGGUCAAAUUUUAGCCUAUAUGCAGAUUUACCUAUUAAACCCUGACUUUUUGAGUUAAAAAGGGAAGUGAACCAGUGAUUUUGAGUUUUAAACAAAUUUUGAGUUGUUUAAGAGUUUGAACACACUUAAAAUCAUCAAGCAAAGUUGUUUGGUCACUCACAUGAGCGGAUGAAUUACUUCCACUCAUUUUUGGGUUUAAAACCACCAUUUCAGGCCACUUUUUCUGGUGCAGAAAACACUUUUCAGCCACUGUUUGAGUAUUUGUUGUUCAUAUGUAGUUAUAGGAAUAUUUAAUUAUAGGGAUGGCUCAAGUUUUAUACGCAUCUAACAUUCACAUUAUUUUGAAGAUAUUGAGCAGGAAAAAUUUGUCGUCAAUCAUACAAGCUAGUGUUUGCUUAAAGUUGCAUAUCUAUAAAGCGACCAAAAGAGGUAAUGUGAUUUCAAAUAUACUUAACUAGUAUAAGCAUUACCUUACAUAUCCAGAAUACUCGAUGAGUUAAUGAUUAUAUGACCAAAAGGAAAAUGCUAAUAGGA
rnacentral:lncRNA from 1 species